AGGACAAACGCUGGCGGGGUGCGUGAGACAUGCAAGUCGGACGGGGUUCUAGCGGGCUUGCUCGGUAGAACCUAGUGGCGGACGGCUGAGUAACGCGUAGGUGACCUGCCCGGAAGUGGGGAAUAACUGCCCGAAAAGGGUGGCUAAUACCGCAUGUGGUCGUCGAAUCAGUUCGCCGACUAAAGGAGAAAUCCGCUUCCGGAGGGGCCUGCGUCCGAUUAGCUAGUUGGUGAGGUAACGGCCCACCAAAGCGACGAUCGGUAGCUGGUCUGAGAGGAUGAUCAGCCAGACUGGGACUGAGAACGGCCCAGACUCCUACGGGAGGCAGCAGUCGGGAAUUUUGCCCAAUGGACGAAAGUCUGAGGCAGCAACUCCGCGUGAGGGAUGAAGGCCUUCGGGUCGUAAACCUCUUUUCUCAGGGAAGAUACAAGACGGUACCUGAGGAAUAAGCCACGGCUAACUACGUGCCAGCAGCCGC
rnacentral:rRNA from 1 species